rnacentral:rRNA from 1 species
AUUGAACGCUGGCGGCAUGCUUUACACAUGCAAGUCGAACGGCAGCGCGGGCUUCGGCCUGGCGGCGAGUGGCGAACGGGUGAGUAAUGCAUCGGAACGUGCCCAGUAGUGGGGGAUAGCCCGGCGAAAGCCGGAUUAAUACCGCAUACGACCUGAGGGUGAAAGCGGGGGACCGAAAGGCCUCGCGCUAUUGGAGCGGCCGAUGUCGGAUUAGCUAGUUGGUGGGGUAAAGGCUUACCAAGGCGACGAUCCGUAGCUGGUCUGAGAGGACGACCAGCCACACUGGGACUGAGACACGGCCCAGACUCCUACGGGAGGCAGCAGUGGGGAAUGUUGGACAAUGGGGGCAACCCUGAUCCAGCCAUGCCGCGUGCGGGAAGAAGGCCUUCGGGUUGUAAACCGCUUUUGCUCGGGAAGAAAUCCUCUGGGCUAAUACCCCGGGGGGAUGACGGUACCGGAAGAAUAAGCACCGGCUAACUACGUG